AGAAAGGAAUAAUGCCGUGUAAAUAAUUUAAAAACAAUAAAUCAUUUAGAGUGGCUUUAAACCAAAACCUAAUGCAGUAGCUGGCUGAGUGCUUGCUACACUUGACAGGUAGCUGGCAUACAGAAUUCAUCUACGUCUAAGAAGUAUUUACUUUUAAAACCCACAAAUCCAAAACAGGCAGACCAAAGAAAAAUGAGACCUAAAGCCUCCUGUAUCUUGAGUAGUCCCUUUUACCUUUUGGAGGUGAAAUGAGAAGUAGAGAAAUUCGGCUAGGAUAGUUCUACUUCAAACACAGAUUUGCUGAGUUAUGCUAGGUAAAUGACUAAUUAAGGCUGAUUCUCCAGCAGAGCUGGCAGAGUGUUGGAGGAGCACAGCAACAAGCCUGGGGCGGUACCCCCACCUCUCCCCCCACCCCCACCAGCUGGAGGAGAGAACAGGGCUGACGGGUAACCAGCUCCAGGAGGGUGGUGCUCCAUUCUCUCUGCUCAUUCCUAUUCACCCAAGACAAAGCAGAUAAUGAAAAGCAAAAUCCAUCGAAAAAGCUUCUGCUUAAGAAAAAAAAGGGCCCUCCACCUGCAACUGAGACUUCAUGAGAAGGAAAAGAAAUCCAGCAGCGGUUUCCUAGCCACAGUGAGUACAGCUAAAGAUUGGUGAAGUAACUGUCCAGGAGCACCUACCACAAGGUAAACUCCAUUCAAGCAAUUUUAGAGUAGUCUGAUUCCAAAAGGGUUUUCCUAAUUGUUGCUAGUUUUCUGUUUCCUGUUUAUUCCAGUUGAUGGCAUGUAAGUGAGUCCUUGACUGAAACUGUCAAUGUUAGGUCUUAAGAGGUAAUUUAAUCUUCUAUCUAGUCACCCAUAUCUUGUUUCAAGGUGCUGUGUGCUUGUAUGUCUGAAUGAUGGCCCUUAAACUGCAUCUCUGCACUUUUGUGUCUGUAUAGUAAUGUGGUAAGAGCAAGUUUGUGUGUGUGUGUGGGGGGGGUAUCUGUUUUAUGAUAUAUCAACCUAUGGUCUAUUCAAGUCAAGUCCUUGAGAAGUUUGGAGAAAUGGGGAAGUGAAGAAGCAGAUGAAAAAAAAAAAAGUAAUAAGAAAGAAGUAGGAAGUUAAAUUUCA
rnacentral:lncRNA from 1 species